rnacentral:rRNA from 1 species
UACGUAGGGGGCCAGCGUUGCUCGGAAUUACUGGGCGUAAAGGGUCCGUAGGCGGUGUAGCAAGUCGAUAGUGAAAUCUCUGCGCUUAACGCAGAGGCUGCUAACGAAACUGCUGUGCUAGAGUGUGAGAGAGGCGAGUGGAAUUACGGGUGUAGCGGUGAAAUGCGUAGAUAUCCGUAGGAACAUCCGAGGCGAAGGCGGCUCGCUGGAUCACAACUGACGCUGAGGGACGAAAGCUAGGGGAGCAAACAGG